AAGAUUGGAUCAUUCGUUGUUCUUUUAUAGACUCAAUAUAUGCUGGACCAGCUAGCUGAUCACCGACGGAAGGAGCAACUACUCAAUGAAGCCAAUAGGAACCUGAAACAAAGGUUGAUCGAAAUCUACCAAAUAGAUUCACUCCAGUUGAAUCCAAAUGAUGCAGAGGGUGUCGGCUACGGCCGACAACCUGCUCAUCACCAUCUUCAUGAUGACGGCUUCUUU